rnacentral:pre_miRNA from 1 species
AGGUCGUGACUCGUGCCCAAUAUUCAGUGUUACUGCACAUCAAUAUUGCACUUGUCCCGGCCUAC